rnacentral:ncRNA from 1 species
GAGGUAGAGGUGCAAUAUCUAUUAGUAACCAUACUGAGAGCGGAACUCAAUGAUGUAUGGAGAAAGGAGAUAUUGCCGAAGCUUUGGAUACCAAAAUUCAAGGCUGGGAUUAUAUCGAAUAGGUAUAAGACUGUCAUCAAAGUAAUUGCUCAAUACUUUGAUGUUGUGCUAUC